rnacentral:misc_RNA from 1 species
CGCACCUUGCACUCCUUGGUAUUCCGAGGAGUAUGCUUGUUUGAGAGUAUUGUAAUCAUCAAUCCUCCUUUGCUUUUUUGUGAAGGCUGGCUUGGAAUUGGAGAUUGCUGGCCCUUUAGGUGUCAUGGCUUCUCUUGAAUGCAUUAGUUGAAUGAAGUUGCAACGCUAUGUGUAGUGUGAUAAUUAUCUUCACUGCAUAGUUGUGAUGAAGUUUGACUUCUAACAGUCUCUUCACUGAGACAUCUUUGAACAUUUUACCUCAAAUCAAGUAGGACUACCCGCUGAACUUAA